rnacentral:ribozyme from 1 species
AACAAAAUUAAAAAACACGAUAACUAACAACACCAAAAACUGGUUACAUGUAUGCUUGCAUCUUCUAUAUUUUUACUCCUAUUUCUU